rnacentral:piRNA from 1 species
GCUCAACUAUGCAAUGUAAGGUGGACCAA